CACGUAGGGGGCGAGCGUUGUCCGGAUUUAUUGGGCGUAAAGGGUGCGUAGGCGGCGCGGUAAGUCGGGUGUGAAAUCUUGGAGCUUAACUCCGAAACUGCAUUCGAUACUGCCGUGCUUGAGGACUGGAGAGGAGACUGGAAUUUACGGUGUAGCGGUGAAAUGCGUAGAUAUCGUAAGGAAGACCAGUGGCGAAGGCGGGUCUCUGGACAGUUCCUGACGCUGAGGCACGAAGGCCAGGGGAGCAAACGGG
rnacentral:rRNA from 1 species